rnacentral:rRNA from 1 species
GACGUAGGGCGCGAGCGUUGUCCGGAUUUAUUGGGCGUAAAGAGCUCGUAGGCGGCUUGUCGCGUCGUUCGUGAAAACCUGCAGCUCAACUGCAGGCUUGCGGUCGAUACGGGCAGGCUAGAGUUCGGUAGGGGGAGACUGGAAUUCCUGGUGUAGCGGUGAAAUGCGCAGAUAUCAGGAGGAACACCGGAGGCGAAAGGCGGCCAUCUGGCGAAAACAUUGACGCUGGAGGGCGCGAAAAGCGUGGGGGAGCAAAACAGG